rnacentral:rRNA from 1 species
AAGCAUCGGCUAACUCCGUGCCAGCAGCCGCGGUAAUACGAAGGGGGCUAGCGUUGCUCGGAAUUACUGGGCGUAAAGGGCGCGUAGGCGGACAGUUAAGUUGGGGGUGAAAGCCCGGGGCUCAACCUCGGAAUUGCCUUCAAUACUGGCUGUCUUGAGUACGGGAGAGGUGAGUGGAACUCCGAGUGUAGAGGUGAAAUUCGUAGAUAUUCGGAAGAACACCAGUGGCGAAGGCGGCUCACUGGCUCGGUACUGACGCUGAGGUGCGAAAGCGUGGGGAGCAAACAGG